AGAGUUUGAUCAUGGCUCAGAAUCAACGCUGGCGGCGCGCUUAACACAUGCAAGUCGAACGAGAAAGUGGAGCAAUCCAUGAGUACAGUGGCGUACGGGUGAGUAACACGUGGGUAAUCUAACUCUUAGUGUGGAAUAACCCUGGGAAACCGGGGCUAAUACCGCAUAAGCCCGAGAGGGGAAAGUCGCAAGACGCUGAGAGAGGAGCCCGCGGCCGAUUAGCUAGUUGGCAGGGUAAAAGCCUACCAAGGCAAAGAUCGGUAGCCGGCCUGAGAGGGCACACGGCCACACUGGCACUGAAACACGGGCCAGACUCCUACGGGAGGCAGCAGUGGGGAAUCUUGCACAAUGGGGGCAACCCUGAUGCAGCGACGCCGCGUGAGCGAUGAAGCCCUUCGGGGCGUAAAGCUCUUUCGGCAGGGACGAUAAUGACGGUACCUGCAGAAGCAGCUGCGGCUAACUACGUGCCAGCAGCCGCGGUAAUACGUAGGCAGCGAGCGUUGUUCGGAGUUACUGGGCGUAAAGGGUGUGUAGGCGGUCGUUUAAGUUUGGUGUGAAAUCUCCCGGCUCAACUGGGAGGGUGCGCCGAAUACUGAGCGGCUAGAGUGCGGGAGAGGAGAGUGGAAUUCCUGGUGUAGCGGUGAAAUGCGUAGAUAUCAGGAGGAACACCGGCGGUGUAAACGGCUCUCUGGACCGCAACUGACGCUGAGACACGAAAGCGUGGGUAGCAAACAGGAUUAGAUACCCUGGUAGUCCACGCCCUAAACGAUGCAUAUUUGGUGUGGGCAGUUCAUUCUGUCCGUGCCGGAGCUAACGCGUUAAAUAUGCCGCCUGGGGAGUACAGUCGCAAGGCUGAAACUCAAAUGAAUUGACGG
rnacentral:rRNA from 1 species